UUCUGGUCUGUGUGCUUAGACUCUAGGAGA
rnacentral:piRNA from 2 species